rnacentral:rRNA from 1 species
UAGGGAAUAUUAGUAAUGGGCGAAAGCCUGAACUAGCAACGCCGCGUGUGCGAAGAAGGCCUUCGGGUUGUAAAGCACUUUUUGAGAGGAUGAGGAAGAACGGUACUCUCAGAAUAAGUCUCGGCUAGCUACGUGCCAGCAGCCGCGGUAACACGUAGGAGGCGAACGUUAUCCGGAUUUACUGGGCGUAAAGCGCGUGUAGGUGGUUUGGUAAGUAGGGCGUGAAAGCUCCUGGCUCAACUGGGAGAGGCCGUUCUAAACUGCCGAACUAGAGGAUGGUAGAGGGAGGUGGAAUUCCGGGUGUAGCGGUGGAAUGCGCAGAUAUCCGGAGGAACACCAGUGGCGAAAGCGGCCUCCUGGACCAUUCCUGACACUCAGACGCGAAAGCUAGGGUAGCAAACGA